rnacentral:misc_RNA from 1 species
GAUUAAGAACGUAGCGAAAUGCGAUAAGUAAUGUGAAUUGCAGAAUUCAGUGAAUCAUCGAAUCUUUGAACGCACAUUGCGCCCGCCAGUAUUCUGGCGGGCAUGCCUGUUCGAGCGUCAUUUCAACCAUCAAGCCCCCGGCUUGUGUUGGGGACCUGCGGCUGCCGCAGGCCCUGAAAACCAGUGGCGGGCUCGCUAGUCACUCCGAGCGUAGUAAUACAUCUCGCUCAGGGCGUGCUGCGGGUUCCGGCCGUUAAAAAGCCUUAUUUACCCAAGGUUGACCUCGGAUCAGGUAGGAAGACCCGCUGAACUUAAGCAUAUCAAUAAGCGGAGGA